AGAGUUUGAUCAUGGCUCAGAUUGAACGCUGGCGGCAGGCCUAACACAUGCAAGUCGAACGGUAACAGGAAGAAGCUUGCUUCUUUGCUGACGAGUGGCGGACGGGUGAGUAAUGUCUGGGAAACUGCCUGAUGGAGGGGGAUAACUACUGGAAACGGUAGCUAAUACCGCAUAACGUCGCAAGACCAAAGAGGGGGACCUUCGGGCCUCUUGCCAUCGGAUGUGCCCAGAUGGGAUUAGCUAGUAGGUGGGGUAACGGCUCACCUAGGCGACGAUCCCUAGCUGGUCUGAGAGGAUGACCAGCCACACUGGAACUGAGACACGGUCCAGACUCCUACGGGAGGCAGCAGUGGGGAAUAUUGCACAAUGGGCGCAAGCCUGAUGCAGCCAUGCCGCGUGUAUGAAGAAGGCCUUCGGGUUGUAAAGUACUUUCAGCGGGGAGGAAGGGAGUAAAGUUAAUACCUUUGCUCAUUGACGUUACCCGCAGAAGAAGCACCGGCUAACUCCGUGCCAGCAGCCGCGGUAAUACGGAGGGUACAAGCGUUAAUCGGAAUUACUGGGCGUAAAGCGCACGCAGGCGGUUUGUUAAGUCAGAUGUGAAAUCCCCGGGCUCAACCUGGGAACUGCAUCUGAUACUGGCAAGCUUGAGUCUCGUAGAGGGGGGUAGAAUUCCAGGUGUAGCGGUGAAAUGCGUAGAGAUCUGGAGGAAUACCGGUGGCGAAGGCGGCCCCCUGGACGAAGACUGACGCUCAGGUGCGAAAGCGUGGGGAGCAAACAGGAUUAGAUACCCUGGUAGUCCACGCCGUAAACGAUGUCGACUUGGAGGUUGUGCCCUUGAGGCGUGGCUUCCGGAGCUAACGCGUUAAGUCGACCGCCUGGGGAGUACGGCCGCAAGGUUAAAACUCAAAUGAAUUGACGGGGGCCCGCACAAGCGGUGGAGCAUGUGGUUUAAUUCGAUGCAACGCGAAGAACCUUACCUGGUCUUGACAUCCACGGAAGUUUUCAGAGAUGAGAAUGUGCCUUCGGGAACCGUGAGACAGGUGCUGCAUGGCUGUCGUCAGCUCGUGUUGUGAAAUGUUGGGUUAAGUCCCGCAACGAGCGCAACCCUUAUCCUUUGUUGCCAGCGGUCCGGCCGGGAACUCAAAGGAGACUGCCAGUGAUAAACUGGAGGAAGGUGGGGAUGACGUCAAGUCAUCAUGGCCCUUACGACCAGGGCUACACACGUGCUACAAUGGCGCAUACAAAGAGAAGCGACCUCGCGAGAGCAAGCGGACCUCAUAAAGUGCGUCGUAGUCCGGAUUGGAGUCUGCAACUCGACUCCAUGAAGUCGGAAUCGCUAGUAAUCGUGGAUCAGAAUGCCACGGUGAAUACGUCCCCGGGCCUUGUACACACCGCCCGUCACACCAUGGGAGUGGGUUGCAAAAGAAGUAGGUAGCUUAACCUUCGGGAGGGCGCUUACCACUUUGUGAUUCAUGACUGGGGUGAAGUCGAAACAAGGUA
rnacentral:rRNA from 1 species